rnacentral:rRNA from 1 species
GACGGGGGCCCGCACAAGCGGCGGAGCAUGUGGAUUAAUUCGAUGCAACGCGAAGAAACCUUACCUGGGUUUGACAUACACCGGAAAACCGUAGAGAUACGGUCCCCCUUGUGGUCGGUGUACAGGUGGUGCAUGGCUGUCGUCAGCUCGUGUCGUGAGAUGUUGGGUUAAGUCCCGCAACGAGCGCAACCCUUGUCUUAUGUUGCCAGCACGUGAUGGUGGGGACUCGUAAGAGACUGCCGGGGUCAACUCGGAGGAAGGUGGGGACGACGUCAAGUCAUCAUGCCCCUUAUGUCCAGGGCUUCACACAUGCUACAAUGGCCAGUACAGAGGGCUGCGAGACCGUGAGGUGGAGCGAAUCCCUUAAAGCUGGUCUCAGUUCGGAUCGGGGUCUGCAACUCGACCCCGUGAAGUCGGAGUCGCUAGUAAUCGCAGAUCAGCAACGCUGCGGUGAAUACGUUCCCGGGCCUUGUACACACCGCCCGUCACGUCAUGAAAGUCGGUAACACCCGAAGCCGGUGGCCUAACCCCUUGUGGGAGGGAGCCGUCGAAGGUGGGAUCGGCGAUUGGGACGAAGUCGUAACAAGGUAACC